GUGUCAGCAGCCGCGGUAAUACGAAGGGAGCUAGCGUUGUUCGGAAUUACUGGGCGUAAAGGGCGCGUAGGCGGCCUCGCUAGUUGGGCGUGAAAUGCCUGGGCUCAACCCAGGAAUUGCGCCCAAUACUUCGAGGCUCGAGUGUGGGAGAGGAUAGUGGAAUUCCCAGUGUAGAGGUGAAAUUCGUAGAUAUUGGGAAGAACACCAGUGGCGAAGGCGGCUAUCUGGACCACAACUGACGCUGAGGCGCGAAAGCGUGGGGAGCAAACAGGAUUAGAUACCCUCGUAGUCC
rnacentral:rRNA from 1 species